UUGUGAAACGCUACAGUUCGGUAGCUUUUCGCGAUAUUUCACGUUUUCACAGAAGGUGUAGGUACUAAAAUCGUGCAAAAUUAAGCAUUAUUACAUAUAAAUAUAUGUAGCUGGAUUUUAUGCCUGUUAAUUUUGAAGAAUAACGUUUUAAACAACUGCGUUGUAUUAAACACCCUAUUGGGUAAUACAGAAAAUUUAACAAAAUUUAAAGUUGUCAUGUUAAGAGGAUUUUAGCAAGUGUGUGUUUUAAAUGACGAUGUUUAAUACUGAAAAGUCAAACUGAUUAAUUAUCGUUUCCUAUGUAGAUGCAUUAAAAUGAAUGACUUUCAGCAUAAUAUUAUUUAAAAGCAUUAUUAUUAUGUGCUCAUCGGCCAAUUUUAUAAUAUCACCGUGCUAGAAAAGCAUGGAAUAACGUACAUGUGAGUAACUGUCCAUAAUGAUAAGACUUGGAGUACUCAUGCAACGUUGGAGUAAACUUUUAUGCAAUACCUUCUACCUCAUUAUUGCAGUUUGCGUCCAUCCGUCUGUCGGUGGUGCAUGCUGGAAGUAUAUCGACAAUACAACUCAUCUUUGUAAAAAGACAUUCGGAUUAAAUAUGACUUUCGAGGAGUGUUGCGGAGUUAAAGGACUAGCGACGGUCUCGUGGUCCCCUCACGACAUAUCUAGCGAUAUCUUCUAUUGGAACUUCCUGUCUAAGGGGGCAAGCAUGUGCCAAAGGUGCCAUAGUGAAAAAUUGUUCUUCACUUGUAUGUGAACAAGGAAAGGCUUGUCGUAUGGUAAACGGGCUUCCGAUUUGUAUUUGCAAACCUCAGUGUGAUAAAACUUUAAAAUUCACGAGGUGCAUUGUGCGGUACGGACGGACAAAAGUACAGGCAUUAUUGUGCUCUACAAAGAUACAACUGUGUAGCAGAGCGACAAAUAUCAGUUGAAUAUUUCGGAAAAUGUCGAAAUUCUUGUAAACGAGUCGAGUGUGAGACAGGAAAGCAUUGCUUACAGGACCAGAAUGGGGCUCCACAUUGUAUACCGUGUCAUGAACAUUGUGACUCGAUCACGCCCAACAACCCAGAAGAUUACAUGUGCAGCGAAAACGGAAAAACAUACAGAAGCACAUGUGAACUAAAAGCUGAUAUAUGUAAAACUGGGAGAAGUAUACGAAUAUCUCAUUCUGGAAAGUGUACUGCUCAUGAGAAUUGUAAAACAUUGGCGUGUCCGCGUGGGACAACAUGUUUGGUCAGUGCAGUAAGCGGUAAACCUGUUUGUAUGAACUGUUAUCGAAACGCAAGUUGUUUACAUACAAACGUCCCGAUUUGUGGAACAGAUAAAAAGACAUACUCUAGUUAUUGUAGAAUGCUGAAGUCGGGCUGUCGUUCAGGUGUUUUUGUGUCAACUCUACGCAGAGGUCCUUGUAGACGACACCGAGAAACGAAAAAAGUUAUCAAAAGGUAAACUAAAUACUUUUGAAACGAAUAAAAGAAAUGUGAAAAAGCGAAUACGACGGCGGCAUAGGCGGUAUAGGAGAAUUAGACGGCAUCGCAGAAAGAGCAAACGUCGCAAACAAAAGAAAAAAGAAAAAAAUCAUAACACUGUUUCAUAUAAAACUAAUACUUUAUAUGAUAAAAGAAAAAACAGGCAUUUUGGUAGACGGGAAGGUUUCAAAGUGACAAGGACCGCAUCAUGACUGUGUCCAGAUUGCAGGCAUUUUCACGAGGAAACUGUGACAGAGUUAAGCGAAGAUCUAUCAUCACUUACAUUUGUUAUAGGAAAUGAAACCAAACAUAGAAUACAAUGAUACACUUAACCGUGUGAUAUUGAAUACCGUGAGAUGUUCUUCGAGGAAAUGGGAAAGCUAUCUUUGCUAAUGAUUAUUGCAUACUAAACAUUUAUUGCAGAAUCGGUAGACACAACAUGUUGACAGCCAGAUGUGUCACUGACAUUAUUAGAUUCAUCGGAAUCCAUUCUACUUUAUUUUUCAUCAAAUUUUUCCAUUUGGAUGACAAUUCAAAAGAAUCGCAUCAAAUACAUUAAUAUACAUGCACUUAAACAUUUACUUCAUUUAAGUUGUAAAUAAAAUGUAUACUUGUAAAUUCAUAUUGAUAUUUUUAAACUUGUGCACAACCACCAUAACUAUGAAUGUAAUGAUUUAUGGGUAGUUGUCAAAAACGAGGCAAGGGUUGACACAUUAUUAGCAGACGUACCAACUCAGUGAAAGAGUGCUACCACAUUUAAUCUACCAGUUUACAUAAAAGACGUUUCAAAAUCGAAAUCAUGUAACACAACGGUAAUAUGCUUAUUUAACAUGCUGUUUCGAUUAUUAGGCGCGUAGAAUAUCUCACUAGAUGUGUACGCACACGUAAGUUAUUCCACAGGGUGUUUUAUUUCCCGCCCUCGUGAAAUUAUUCCGAUGGCAACUCAAUUUUAAAGUGGAGCGUAUCCAUUGAGCGUAUCCAUUUGAUUUAACCUGAAAUAUAUUGGCAGGCAUAAGAUGUUACAGACUUAGUUUGCGGAAGAGCCGUCAUGUGUAUAACGAAGUUUCGUAAAAGUUUUCUAAACUGACCGCUUUAUCUCACGAAAUAUGACUCAGUAUGUGUAAAGAACAGAUAGUGGAGCUGUAUAAGCUUCUCUCCUGUUGUCAUGUCUCAUAUUAAUAAAUGGAAAGAUAUCUUGUAAUGUUAGAACAUACAUUUUGUAUCUAACUUAAAGGGUUUUAUUGCCAUUUAUAACAUUGUGUUCUGCUAUUGUAUGGCAAAUCAUAUGGAAAAUCCUUUCAGUUGUGGCAAUAAAAUUGCUGCUAGUUCUACACAAAUGUCUUGUGAGCCAAUGUUUACAUAUGUGUAAUUAUAAAAUAAAUAAACAUAAUGUG
rnacentral:lncRNA from 1 species